UUUACACUUCCGAGGUCUGAAAGCGUUUCCGUAGGAUUGAAUAGUCAAAAUAUCAAACAAGAACUCAAGUAUAUGUGAGAUGAACCCGUUCAUGAAGAUAAUGCAGCUGUUUGGCAUGAUGACAGUGACGGUGCUGGGCAUGCUGGUGCUGCUCCUGGUGACGCCAGACCUGGAGGACAGCUUGCUGCGCGUAGUGGGUCGCUACCGGCACCGGCACGCGCUGUCGCACUCCGCCGUUGGGCAACCAGAUUUGUCGAGUCCAGAAGUCAGCA